rnacentral:lncRNA from 1 species
GCAAUGAGGCCAAUUCGAAGUGGUUGGAUGCGCACUACGACCCAAUGGCCAAUAUCCACACCUUUUCUGCCUGCCUAGCGCUGGCAGAUUUACAUGGGGAUGGGGAAUACAAGCUGCUGCUGCCACCUUCCUCAUGGAGCAACAUGAGCCCCGGACCCCAGCUCUGGCACUUGCUUCAGGCCCUUGUGUCUAUGUGUAUAAGAAUCUCAGACCCUACUUCAAGUUCAGCCUGCCCCAAUUGCCUCCAAAUCCUCUGGAACAAGACCUUUGGAACCAGGCCAAAGAGGACCGAAUCGACCCCUUAACCCUGAAGGAGAUGCUGGAGAGCAUCCG